rnacentral:lncRNA from 1 species
CCAGGAGGAUGGCUGGGCAGGAGUAUGCAGGAGACAGAGGUGAAGACUUUAUUUUUUCAACAGAUGACAUCCACCGUUGUAUCCUGAACCGGGGAAUGUCAGUUGUAAGAGCCGGCAGUCUCUGUACCCACCACCUCCAUUGUAGAGAUGGGGCCGCAGCAGCUCAGAGACGGUGCGGACCGUGUCGAUCACACAGCGCAUGAGAGGGAGGGGCGGGGUGAGAAACCCGGUUUGAACCUCACAGCACCCCACCAUCACCUCCUGCCUUGGAGCCGAAACCGGGUUUGGGCAUGGGGGAGGGGCAGUUGCUGUGGGAAGAAAACAAACACCCCUGCGCUCCGGUCUGCAGGCGCCAGCUGCCAAGAUGGCAAGGAGACUGACUGCCUGAGUGCAGACCCGAGGCAGGGGCUUCCUGUCUGCGAGGAGGCCCUGGUGGCUGUUCUCCCACUGCCCACACCCUUCUGGUCUCCAUCAGUGACUGGUACAGCGCCGUGGCCCUGUUGCCAGCCUUCAUAAGAGGUGUGGAGGUGGUAACCUCCCUCCACCCACCCUCACCCUAGUAAGCGGACAGCCAGGAUCCCAACCAGACAGUUUUGCCCCAGUGCUGGGCCUCCUCUCUCCCCGGCCCCCCAGUUCUCAGGGGAGGCCCGGCUUUCCUGGGGAAUAAAGCCCCUUUCUAUUUUC